AUUUGCUCAAUGGCAGAGCGGCGGCUUCUAAAACCGUGAGUGUCGGUUCGACUCCCGCAUCUCGCACCCCA
rnacentral:tRNA from 1 species